UGUCGAAAUAUUUUAUACGUUUCUUUCCCCUUCUGCAUAAAUUUCUUAAGUACACAACACUUGAACAUUUUCCACCUCCUCUCGAGCCCUCUUAUCUCUCCAUAUUGUAAUAGGACUUCGCUUUGCUUAUUCUUUCUAUAACCCCCCUGAAUUGUCUCUGCAAACACCCCUGAAACUGAAGCUGCCUUAAACAAGUUUAAUAGUAGAUGUGAAUUAGAGCAUAACAUGAAAACCCGUUUGCCCAGGCUGGGGAUUUCACGUUGGAUUUCAUACUCCAGGUCUUCCAUGGAGGUGUUUCAGAUAGAGCCAAUUGCCAUGAAUAAUGAUGGCAAUUCUAUUGAAGAAUCAUCUUUUCAGCAGUUAAUUCCUCCAAGCUCUCCUGAGAUAAGUGGCAUAUCCGGAGAUCCACAAGUGAAUCCCCGAGUUGGCAAUGAGUAUCAGGCAGAAAUUCCUCCCAUGAUAUCAGAAUCUCACCAUUUUCAGCUUUCACUGGACCCUUUUGAUUCAAAAGUCACAGUUGAUGGUUCUCAUUCCUUUCUAAUAGGUUUACCUAUCCCAAUUACUUGGAUUCAUGACACAACAAAUGACAGAAAUGAAGGGUGCACAAUGAGCAAUCCUGAUGAUUCAAUCCAAGGGACAUGGUCAAGCAAAUCAAGAACGACUGGAAAGAAUAAUAUUCUGGAGAAGAAAGGUUCAAAACAAAAUGCAGAACCAACAGAUCUUGGAUUGGACGAUGGAAAUGAACCAAAACCAGUAACUCUUGGGCCCAUGGAGGCAGGAGAAGCUAACUUAUCUUUGCUGCAGAAAAGCAACAAUUCUGAUCCUGUUCCUGGUUCAUUAAAUCAUCCUUGGAGUGAUGUCGAUGUUGAUAGUUUUAUUCUUGGUUUAUAUGUAUUUGGUAAAAAUUUUGUUCAGAUAGAGAGAUUCAUGGAAAACAAAGAUAUGGGGAAAUAUUGUCCUUCUACUAUGGAGAAUUUUACAGGUCUGAUGGAUAUCGCAGAUGGUCAGAUUGCCAGAAGACAAAACGAAAGAAAUGCAUCUAUGGACAGAAAAUUUUUACGGGGUGGAGACAACAGGAGCUGCUCUCUCGUUUGCAUCCUCAUGUCCCUGUGCAUUCUCAAAAUGAUUUUCUAGAGGUCUCUAUGGCAUUUUCAGAGGGGAAAUUUUCUCUAGAAGAUUAUGUAUCCAAUUUAAAGGCCAUUGCUGGCAUUAAAGCUCUUGUAGAUGCUAUUGGAAUCGGUAAGGGAAAGGAAGAUCUAACAAGUCUUGCCAUGGAACCUGCAAGAAGCAAUCCUUUGUUAUCUAUUUGCCCAAUUGGCAAAGCUUGCUCCUCUUUGACUUCCAGUGACAUAAUCAAGCUGUUGACUGGGGGCUUCCGUUUGAGCAAAGCCCGUUGUAACGAUAUAUUCUGGGAAGCUGUUUGGCCCCGUUUGCUAGCAAGAGGGUGGCACUCUGAGCAACCAAACAAUCAGGGUUGUAUGGGUUCCAACCAUCCUAUAGUGUUUCUCAUUCCUGGUGUUAAGAAGUUCUCAAAAAGGAAACUUGUGAAAGGUAACCACUACUUUGAUUCUGUUAGUGAUGUUUUGAGCAAAGUGGCAUCCGAACCAAAACUUAUUGAGCUUGAAACUGAAGAAGCUAGAGGCAGCAGCUGCAAUGAAGAGAACAGGUGGGUUGCAGGAGUUCCAUUGGGCCACAAUGAUGCAUCCAUUCGCCAAUCCUUUCGUUACCUUAAACCACGAGUUUCUAAUUACAAUCUGAAUCUUGUGAAGUUCACUGUUGUUGAUUCUGGUUUGGUUGAUGAAAGAAAAUUAUCCAGGAUGAGAGAAAUGAGAUAUACACCAGAUGAUUUGAAUGUUAAAUCCUUACUGACAAAACUUUCAAGUAGCAUCGAAAUGAUGUUUUCGGAGAAGUCACUGAAUGACAAUGAGACAGAGGCUGUUGACAUGUCACUGGAUGGUGGAAAGAAUGUCAGUAAUGUUAAAUGCUGUGAAAAAGGAUUUGAUGGUUGGGGCUCAAACCAUGCAAAGUUCACAAUUGUGGAUACGAGUUUGAUACAUGCAGGGAAAUCAUCAAAGGUGAGAGAAUUGAGAUAUUCACCAGUUGACAUUAUAGUUACUUCUGAAAUAACCAAAUCCUCGAGGAAAAAAGAAAGUGAUUCCUCUGAGGAUUCGCUGGAUGGGCAUGUGCGAGAUGCAACCAAAAUGCUGUCACGUGAGGAAAAGAAUGGCAAAAAAUGCAGCCACAAUAAGGAUGUAAUUGAUAGCAGUGGAUCAGAACAGAAGGCACUCAAUAGAGAAAUCAGGAACAAAUUUGUCGAAAGCCUCCAAGGUAAUAACAAUGUGUCAAAUAAAAAUCAGCCAACAAGGACUAUUAAGCAGAAAUUCAGUCGAAGACCAAAAUCUGGUCAUUCAAAUAAUUUAGUUUCUGUAGUCAAACGACGGAGAUUAACUGCUUGCUGUAAUACAGAGUUAAGUCAUGUUAUUGAGAAUUUCUCUGUUAGCCUGGGAUCCAAACAAGAAGGGUCUUACUUUGCUUUGAAAUCUCCAGAGGGGGGCAGUAAUACCUUUCAAGUUAAUCCUCCUCAGAAGUUAUCAUCAAACAUUUCCUUAGCUGAAGGCAGUCUAGAAGAGAACACUGGAGGUUUGGUGGGUGCAACUUGUUUUGGUGCGGAAACAUCGCAUGGGGAAAAUGUUAAACUUCAAACCCCAUCUUUGAUUGACCUGAACCUGCCUCAAUUUUCAUUGGAUUGUGAAAAUGAUGAACCAGCAUUGAUGAACGUAGAAAGCAGUCCGGGAGCUAAUGCCGAUCAUCAAUGCUUUCUGUCCAAUUCAGACAAGACUGAUCCUGGGGCAUUGAGUGCGUCUGUUGAUGAUGGUCCUGCAAUAAAGCAGCCUAGUUUGAACCCCAGAAGACAAAGCACAAGAAACCGACCUUUGACCACCAGGGCAUUGGAAGCUCUUGAAUGUGGAUUCUUGAGUGUGAAGAGGCAAAAAACCUCAAAAGUUCACGCACAGGAAAUCUCAUUUUCCAGUUCAUCCCAUAGGGUUCACAGCAAGGCCAAAGUAACACCAAGUCGUGGUAAUGUUGGCUCUGGCAUUGUGAAUGCAAAGGAUGGGAAUGACAGUGAGGCCUUUAACAAAAAAGAUUUUGUCCAAAAGACUCCUGAUAGAAGUGAAGAAAAGUGCUGACUAGUUAAUAGGAUGUCCAAAGCUACUACAUCUGGAAGUUUGAGGACAGCUUAGUGAGCUGCUAUUUGUUAUUUUGACUUGAAAUCAGAUCCUCGGUUGUUAAUUGCCAGAAGUAGCUGAUAUCUGUGGAGAGACUCCUUGCUAUAUUACCUCUAAACUGUAUAUGCUGUCUACUUUGGUCCUCUUUGGUAUGCUUUCACCAAGCAAGCAUAGAAGUGGGAGUACCUCUACUUCGACAUAUACAGUUUACCUACAGGCCCAAUCCUUACAACACUAUAUAAUAUACUGGUCUCAGUGUACCACCUUACAAUGCACAUAACAUUUUACUAGAAAUUGUACUGGUAUGCCAUCAAGUCAUUUGCAUUUUGCCUCAGUGUUCUUCCCUUUUUAUUUUUGGGUGAUAAUGGAAACAAUGCUUGUUGCAAUAUAUUGGUGCAUCUGGGAUUGGAAGCAGAAGGUGAACCCAGAAUAUUAUAUGUGAAUUAAAUCUCCAUCAUAUUUUCAAAUA